AAAGGAAUUGACGGGGGCCCGCACAAGCAGUGGAGUAUGUGGUUUAAUUCGAAGCAACGCGAAGAACCUUACCAGGUCUUGACAUCCUAGGAAUCUUUAAGAGAUUAGAGAGUGCCCUUCGGGGAACCUAGAGACAGGUGGUGCAUGGUUGUCGUCAGCUCGUGUCGUGAGAUGUUGGGUUAAGUCCCGCAACGAGCGCAACCCUUAUGUUUAGUUGCUACGCAAGAGCACUCUAGACAGACUGCCGUUGACAAAACGGAGGAAGGUGGGGAUGACGUCAAAUCAUCAUGCCCUUUAUGACCUGGGCUACACACGUACUACAAUGGCUGUUAACAGAGGGAAGCAACACAGCGAUGUGAAGCAAAACCCAAAAAGCAGUCUUAGUUCGGAUUGCAGGCUGAAACUCGCCUGCAUGAAGUCGGAAUUGCUAGUAAUCGCAGAUCAGCAUGCUGCGGUGAAUACGUUCCCGGGCCUUGUACACACCGCCCGU
rnacentral:rRNA from 1 species